rnacentral:rRNA from 1 species
GGACUACCAGGGUAUCUAAUCCCGUUCGCUCCCCUAGCUUUCGCACAUGAGCGUCAGUGACUUCCCAGAACGCUGCCUUCGCCUUCGGUGUUCUUCCAGAUCUCUACGCAUUUCACCGCUCCACCUGGAAUUCCGCGUCCCUCUGAAGCCCUCAAGUCUUCCAGUUUUCCGAGUCCUGUCAGAGUUAAGCCCUGACCUGUCACUCGAAACUUAAAAGACCGCCUGCGUGCGCUUUACGCCCAAUAAAUCCGGACAACGCUUGCCCCCUACGUAUUACCGCGGCUGCUGGCAC